rnacentral:rRNA from 1 species
GAUGAACGCUGGCGGCGUGCCUAAUACAUGCAAGUCGAGCGAACGGACGAGAAGCUUGCUUCUCUGAUGUUAGCGGAGGACGGGUGAGUAACACGUGGAUCACCUACCUAUCAGACUGGGAUCACUUCGGGAAACCGGAGCUAAUAGCGGAUAAUAUUUUGAACCGCAUGGUUCAAAAGAGAAAUGCGGUCUUGCUGGCACUUAUAGAUGGAUCCGCGCUGCAUUAGCUAGUUGGUAAGGUAACGGCUUACCAAGGCAACGAUGCAUAGCCGACCUGAGGGGCUGAUCGGCCACACUGGAACGGAGCCGCGGUCCAGACUCCUACGGGAGGCAGCAGUAGGGAAUCUUCCGCAAUGGGCGAAAGCCUGACGGAGCAACGCGGCGUGAGUGAUGAAGGUCUUCGGAUCGUAAUACUCUGUUAUUAGGGAAGAACAUAUGUGUAAGUAACUGUGCACAUCUUGACGGUACCUAAUCAGAAAGCCACGGCUAACUACGUG